UUGGAGCCUUCAGUGGCAUUUUAAAUUUGCAGUUGUUAAAAGUCUGUUUCUACUUUUCCAAAAUCAGUUCUGGGUAUUGAAGCAUUUCUAUGUAUCUGCAAAAAUGGCUUAAAUUGAUCUCUAGAUACAAUUUUACAUGUUAGGAGAAAGGAAUUUUUUUUUUUUUAACUUUUAGCCCAUCAGAGAGUUUGGGGGAAGUUCUGGGGGAUUCACAAUAUUAGCCCAGUUCAAGGCUCUGAGAAGCCACGUAGUAGAGGAAACUUUAUUUGACCAAUUCAGUAUUUCUGAAAUUAUUUUAACCACAGUUUCUUCUGUAACAUUGGUUAAAUUAAACACACUUAGGAAGCUGCUUGCCUAGUAAUUUAACGUUUCACUUUUUUGUCAGAGAGUAUUUUCUCUUGAGCAGAGCAGGAAGCUCCAUAACAGUGUUGACUCAUCUCAUUGUAAUUGGCUGAAACCUCAGAAAGAGGUGUCGUGCCCCUCCCACCCCUUCCACAUUUACCUGGAUUUUUGCCACUCGCCUUUAACAGGUGGAUUUCCCUCAUGGAAUUGGGUUGAGGACUAGACCCCAGAGCUGGGGCCUGCUGGGGUGGGGCUUGAGGCAGCAAGGGCAGCAAAAAAAACAGCUGGAGCUGCGGUCCUGGACGGUUCCGGGACCCAGAGGCCAAGAGAUCCAGAGUCGGGAUAACAAGGGGGACCACCAGGAAGCAGUCCUGGCAUAGCAGGAUGUUUUUGGUCUGUUUUCCACUGCCAUUCCCUCAUUCAUUCAUUCAUUCUGUGGGCUGAUGAAGCUCGUUUUAUGUGUCAGGUGCCAUGUUGGUCACUCAUUCAUUCAUUCUGUCGGCUGAUGAAGCUCGCUUUAUGUGCCAGGUGCCAUGUUGGUCCCUCAUUCAUUCAUUCAUUCAUUCAUUCUGUGGGCUGGUGAAGCUCACUUUAUGUGCCAGGUGCCAUGUUGGUCCCUCAUUCAUUCAUUCAUUCAUUCAUUCUGUGGGCUGGUGAAGCUCACUUUAUGUGCCAGGUGCCAUGUUGGUCCCUCAUUCAUUCAUUCAUUCAUUCAUUCAUUCUGUGGGCUGGUGAAGCUCACUUUAUGUGUCAGGUGCCAUGUUGGUCCCUCAUUCAUUCAUUCAUUCAUUCAUUCUGUGGGCUGAUGAAGCUCGCUUUAUGUGCCAGGUGCCAUGUUGGUCCCUCAUUCAUUCAUUCAUUCAUUCAUUCUGUGGGCUGGUGAAGCUCACUUUAUGUGCCAGGUGCCAUGUUGGUCCCUCAUUCAUUCAUUCAUUCAUUCUGUGGGCUGGUGAAGCUCACUUUAUGUGCCAGGUGCCAUGUUGGUCCCUCAUUCAUUCAUUCAUGCAUUCAUUCUGUGGGCUGGUGAAGCUCACUUUAUGUGCCAGGUGCCAUGUUGGUCCCUCAUUCAUUCAUUCAUUCAUUCUGUAGGCUGAUGAAGCUCAGUUUAUGUGCGAGGUGCCAUGUUGGUCCCUCAUUCAUUCAUUCAUUCAUUCUGUAGGCUGAUGAAGCUCGCUUUAUGUGCCAGGUGCCAUGUUGGUCCCUCAUUCAUUCAUUCAUUCAUUCUGUAGGCUGAUGAAGCUCACUUUAUGUGCCAGGUGCCAUGUUGGUCCCUCAUUCAUUCAUUCAUUCAUUCUGUAGGCUGAUGAAGCUCACUUUAUGUGCCAGGUGCCAUGUUGGUCCCUCAUUCAUUCAUUCAUUCAUUCUGUAGGCUGAUGAAGCUCAGUUUAUGUGCGAGGUGCCAUGUUGGUCCCUCAUUCAUUCAUUCAUUCAUUCUGUAGGCUGAUGAAGCUCGCUUUAUGUGCCAGGUGCCAUGUUGGUCCCUCAUUCAUUCAUUCAUUCAUUCUGUAGGCUGAUGAAGCUCGCUUUAUGUGCCAGGUGCCAUGUUGGUCCCUCAUUCAUUCAUUCAUUCAUUCUGUAGGCUGAUGAAGCUCACUUUAUGUGCCAGGUGCCAUGUUGGUCCCUCAUUCAUUCAUUCAUUCUGUGGGCUGGUGAAGCUCACUUUAUGUGCCAGGUGCCAUGUUGGGAGUGUUCCUCCUGGGCAUGGUACGUAGGCGUUGCCAUUGGGUCCACAAUGCGUGUCUUGUAAAAGUUCCACCCCGAUAGAAACAGGGCUCUGCUUUAGAGCAUACAGUCUGUACAAUCAGAAGUCACGUUGCUUUAGGAUGUUCCUGCUCAUGCCAGAUCCUCUGAAAGUGAUGAAAUGUUGGGAAGACAGUUUACAGUUUUCUGUUUUCUUCAGUGCCAUUGUUAGUACAAGGAAUAUAGUCCCUUUCAGUCUUCUUCAUAAUGAGUUUAGAGAAUUAAAAUAUUCCAUUUAACUUGUUUUCUUUUUUAAGUCUGUAGCUCUACAUAUUUAGAAAUUGUCUCUCCUAGGCAUUAGAAUUGGUACAGGUAUAGAUUAAUUAUAGAUCAUGUAAUAAAAAUUUGAGGAAAUGGAGAGUAAUUUUAAAAAACUUACUGAUGUGUUCUAGGUGGUUAAACUAUGUUUAUUUAACAUAUUUGAAAUUUCAUUUGUUUCCCUUAAAACAACCAAAUCGAGUUCAUUAGUCACAAAUAAGAUCUCAUACACUGCCUGUGAUUGCAGUGUUAAAAUGUAGUGUAGUUAGUGCCUUGAGUAAAGAUGAAGUUUUUUUCCACUGGUUGAGAAAUUUGCAGUUAGAAAAACAGUGCAUUCCAUUUGUGCAUGCCUGCGUACUUCAAUAAAGUAAUUCUGUCAUAGACAAACUGACUGGGUUUAUGUAGGAGAAAAUGUUAAACUUCCCCUUAGCUUUCACAUAAUUGUCAACAACUGGGUGGUUAAAAUAUGAUUGUUGGUGUCUGAGUAGAAGCAUGUGCAUUCUUUGAAUGCUUCUAAUGACUGACAGGAUUAGGAAUCUGGUAUUCAGAGAAUGGAACUCCCUCCUCCAUGAAUAGAUAAUACCAAUGGCCUAUUCUGGCAUAGAAUUAGGACUUUUAAGAUGCUAUUUUUAUAGUUUUGGUAAUAUAAAAAUUAUGCUCAGCAGUUACUUUGUAGGAGACCACUACCAUUAAAAUGCAGUAGAAUUUUGUGGAAGGGGUGUGUGCAUGUGUUGGAGAUGGAGGUGGACAUCUGUUGGAAUAGUACGAACUAUAAAAUGUUCAUACAAAUGCCUUUCAUUUAAGUUUAUUCAUAAUUAUCUGCUUCUAAUUUGUGUCAGAUUACAUUUAAAGUUCAAAAAGACUAGUUACAAAUUCAGUACGUAACACUGCAUGUUUAAUUAGCAGCAAUUAAUUGAGUAAAAGGUUUGGUCUGAUUAGGAGUAUUCAGGGAAAAAGGAGUUAAUUAAGAGAUAUUUUCAGUAACCAUUGAGUUAUAUGCUGGAGACAUGUCAGUGCCAUACUCUGGUCUGUGUGUUUUCUUCUUACAUCUUUUUAAAAAAGUAGAUUAUUAGAGCACUACUUCUAAACCAUUUUAAUACCUGGAAAUAGAAGAUACUCCAUAAAUAAAUAUACUUAUUGAUUAGAAUUGGUUUUCCUCCCCAAACUUAAGUAAUUGCCUUGAGAGUCAACGGAGGGUGCCACUCUGCCAGUCAGUGGGGCCCCAGCUGAACAUCCAGUGUGUGUCUACAGGGGAAGAAACAGACUCCCCUUCACAGUUCUGUGUAAUAUACUUAAUAGCUUAAGAGUAAAAAUUAGCCUGUUUGUCUAGAUAAUUGCCCUGUUCCCAUACAGGGAACAAUUUAAAGUUGUUUAAAAAUCACUCAUAUUGUAGCUAAAGUCAGUGAAUAAGCCCCCAGCCUCGUACAGACCUUUUCUGCCACCUUAGGAAGUCGUUCAACAGCACCAGUGCAUCUCAGUGUCUGUGAAUGAACCUGUUGUUAGGCCAGGCAGGGGCACUUUCUACCACUCAGCAGCCCUCAUUGUUUCUUCACAUAAACACGAUGCUGCUUUCCCACCUGCAAAUCUGAUGAUUUCUGCCUUAAUCUAUAUGGAUGUGGGAUUCAUGUAUCCCAUCACGAGCUGGGUUCCUGUUUAACCUUGUUAUCAGUGACAUGCUCCAAGCUGUGUUCACCAGAGUCAUGAUGCCCCAGAUAAUAGAGGAUGUUUCUGAAUCUUGCAUGGCCGAUAAAGAGCAAGGUUGUAAUCCAUGCUGUAAAGAAAACACAGGGCGAUGAGACAGAAACAGUAAGAAUAGCGGGAGGAGACUCUUCCAGGAGAGGAUGCAUCAGACACUGGGGCUCUGAGAUGAGUGUGCUCUCCUGAUUGAGGACAAAGAGAAUGCCCACUUGGCUGGAGGGCAGGGAGCAAGUUUUGCAGAAAGCAGUGUGUUCUAGCAGCACCAGCCUCCUCCACAGCAGAUAGUCUCUUCGUUCCUCCACAUGAGGCCUUGCAUAUUUGAAGCUUCAUCGGCAAGAUAAGAUUAUCCUGUACAAUAAGAGAGAAGUGGAUAUAGAAGAAUGAAUAUAAAAUAUGGUAGGUCAGCUGGUGAGUACAGACAUAGGGAAGUCUGAGGGGCAGGGAUGAAGAGAGUCACCAUGGCUGCCCCAGUCUCCUGUGUCAGGCCAGGCAGUCAGUCACAAUUUUAGACAGUGAGGGUGAUGUACAGGUGGGAUGAGAAAAGGAUCUUGGCGUUCUGACGACGGCCAAAAAUGCAAUCAGGAAGGACCUGGGAUCACUGACUCAUAAGUACAGACAGGCCGGAAAUUAGUGUCUCAAAAGCCUGGCAGAGGCAGCAGGACCCAGUUCUCGGCCAGGGUUCAGCUCAGAGCGUCAGGGCCUAGAGAAACCCUGGGCCUCCACCCUGUUGCAGACUGAGGCACUGCCUUGGGGCUCGGAUGCAGAGCCAGUAAGACUUAAUGAAAAGCAGGCUGGAUCUGGUCUCUAAAAAAUGGCCGUGGAUUUUUGGAAAAUGUAUGAAAGGAAGGAAGUGAAGACUGUAGAGGAAGUGUUUCCUGUUAAUGAUGUGGAGAACAAAGUGCUUGGUGAAUCCCUGGUGUGCAGCUCACACUGAGCAGUUCUGGUCUGUGAAAUGCCACACUCGUGGCAAACCUAGAGCAAGAAUCUGAGAAAGCAGUUAAGUGGCAAGUGAGCUUUGUUUUGGGUAAGUAUAAUAGUUCAUUUGGGGAAAAUAAAUUCUGUGCUAUGACAGGGAUGGUGAAUUCUGGGUGCUUGUUCAUGAAACAGAAAAAGGAUGGGCUCGUGGAUGGAUUAAACCUGAGAACCUGCAACGCCACCCUGAUUUAUCCAAAAGGGCUGUAGAGAACUGCUUGUUUCUUUGAAGAUUCAGUCGAUGAUACAAAAUUAUACAAUAUUCUGGAGUUGUGGUUGCAGCUAAAGAUACAUACAGUAUAGCCUGAAAAGGUCCAAAGAAAAGGAGGUAAAACACUCUAUCUUUGAGCAGCCUCUCAGCUUCAGCACUGCUGACAUUUGGAACCAGAUAUUUUUGGUUGUGUAGGGCUGUCCUGUGCGUUGUAGGAUGCUUAGCAACACCCCUGGUCUCCACCCACGAGACGCCAGGAGCACCCUCUUCCGACAAGUAGUGACAACCAAAAAUGUCUGCAGGCAUUACCAGAUGUCUCCUAGGGAGCAGAAUUGCCCCCAGGGGAAAACCACUGACCUAGAGGAUAAGUUGACCUGAAAAAGAUAAGAAGGGAAUGUUGUUGCAAUCUUCAAAACCUGUAAAGUGGGGUGGGUUACACACAUUUAUCCAUGGACAAUUGUCUCUUGAAGCUUGAUGUCAAUUUCUUACUGAAUCGAAAUCUUUCGUAAUGAAUACAUAUCUUAAGAAUUUGUAAGUCAUAACCGUUGAAAAUACAAAUGUGGUCCAGAAGUGUUUUGAGGGACUCCUGGAAAGUGACUCACUCAACUGCUUUGUGGAAGGAUAGCCUUGUCUUUCCACCACACAUUCCCAGUGCAGCCGAGAGAGGGAGUUUUGGCUUCGCUAAGAGCAGAGUGCUGUUUCUUCUGUUUUUUGUUUUUCAUCAUUUAUGGACAAAAUUCUGUAAAGUAUACCUGGUUUUAGGUGGAUAAAAAUAAAACAAGUUGAAGGUUCCA
rnacentral:lncRNA from 1 species